UACGUAGGGGGCAAGCGUUGUCCGGAUUUAUUGGGCGUAAAGAGCGUGUAGGCGGCCAUACAGGUCAGCUGUGAAAACUCGAGGCUCAACCUCGAGACGUCGGUUGAAACCGUAUGGCUAGAGUCCGGAAGAGGAGAGUGGAAUUCCCGGUGUAGCGGUGAAAUGCGCAGAGAUCAGGAGGAACACCGGUGGCGAAGGCGGGUCUCUGGGCCGGAACUGACGCUGAGGAGCGAAAGCGUGGGGAGCGAACAGG
rnacentral:rRNA from 1 species